rnacentral:rRNA from 1 species
UUGAUCCUGGCUCAGAUUGAACGCUGGCGGCAGGCCUAACACAUGCAAGUCGAACGGUAGCACAGAGAGCUUGCUCUCGGGUGACGAGUGGCGGACGGGUGAGUAAUGUCUGGGAAACUGCCUGAUGGAGGGGGAUAACUACUGGAAACGGUAGCUAAUACCGCAUAACGUCGCAAGACCAAAGAGGGGGACCUUCGGGCCUCUUGCCAUCAGAUGUGCCCAGAUGGGAUUAGCUAGUAGGUGGGGUAACGGCUCACCUAGGCGACGAUCCCUAGCUGGUCUGAGAGGAUGACCAGCCACACUGGAACUGAGACACGGUCCAGACUCCUACGGGAGGCAGCAGUGGGGAAUAUUGCACAAUGGGCGCAAGCCUGAUGCAGCCAUGCCGCGUGUAUGAAGAAGGCCUUCGGGUUGUAAAGUACUUUCAGCGGGGAGGAAGGUGUUGUGGUUAAUAACCACAGCAAUUGACGUUACCCGCAGAAGAAGCACCGGCUAACUCCGUGCCAGCAGCCGCGGUAAUACGGAGGGUGCAAGCGUUAAUCGGAAUUACUGGGCGUAAAGCGCACGCAGGCGGUCUGUCAAGUCGGAUGUGAAAUCCCCGGGCUCAACCUGGGAACUGCAUUCGAAACUGGCAGGCUAGAGUCUUGUAGAGGGGGGUAGAAUUCCAGGUGUAGCGGUGAAAUGCGUAGAGAUCUGGAGGAAUACCGGUGGCGAAGGCGGCCCCCUGGACAAAGACUGACGCUCAGGUGCGAAAGCGUGGGGAGCAAACAGGAUUAGAUACCCUGGUAGUCCACGCCGUAAACGAUGUCGACUUGGAGGUUGUGCCCUUGAGGCGUGGCUUCCGGAGCUAACGCGUUAAGUCGACCGCCUGGGGAGUACGGCCGCAAGGUUAAAACUCAAAUGAAUUGACGGGGGCCCGCACAAGCGGUGGAGCAUGUGGUUUAAUUCGAUGCAACGCGAAGAACCUUACCUACUCUUGACAUCCAGAGAACUUUCCAGAGAUGGAUUGGUGCCUUCGGGAACUCUGAGACAGGUGCUGCAUGGCUGUCGUCAGCUCGUGUUGUGAAAUGUUGGGUUAAGUCCCGCAACGAGCGCAACCCUUAUCCUUUGUUGCCAGCGGUCCGGCCGGGAACUCAAAGGAGACUGCCAGUGAUAAACUGGAGGAAGGUGGGGAUGACGUCAAGUCAUCAUGGCCCUUACGAGUAGGGCUACACACGUGCUACAAUGGCGCAUACAAAGAGAAGCGAACUCGCGAGAGCAAGCGGACCUCAUAAAGUGCGUCGUAGUCCGGAUUGGAGUCUGCAACUCGACUCCAUGAAGUCGGAAUCGCUAGUAAUCGUAGAUCAGAAUGCUACGGUGAAUACGUUCCCGGGCCUUGUACACACCGCCCGUCACACCAUGGGAGUGGGUUGCAAAAGAAGUAGGUAGCUUAACCUUCGGGAGGGCGCUUACCACUUUGUGAUUCAUGACUGGGGUGAAGUCGUAACAAGGUAACC